GGCCUGGUGGCUCAGGUGGUUAGAGCACCGUGCUCCUAACGCUGAGGUCGCCGGUUCGAUUCCCACAUGGGCCA